rnacentral:lncRNA from 1 species
AUGAUUUGGUCCAUAUCCUACUUGUUGACCUUAUAUGGAAUCACCAACCAAGCGUCCAGCUUCACUUUCCUAAGACCCACAGGAAAUAUUUCUUUCCCUCAAGGAAAUGAGAAUCACGCAAAUGGAAACCAAGAAGCCAGUGAGCAACACACUACUGAGGAUGCGCCUCAGGAUCAUGGAAGUUUGAAGCCUUGUAUAGAUUUUUAAAGGUCCCUGUCUGAUGUGUGGAAAGCUGUCUUCAGUUAUGCCUGGUCUCCUGCCAUGUAUGAAACAUCUGUAUUUGCAAAAUGUGCUACAAUCCCUUCAGGCCAAGAGGAAUCUUGGGAAAGCAACACGGUGAGUGCAAAACUGUUGCAACGUAUAAUCAUCUUCCACUCUCCAGAGUGAACAGUGGUAAGCUCUCAUGAAUUGUUGAGUCAUGAAUUAUAACAAAAUGAUUGAUCUAGAGGAGGUGCUAGGUAGAAAAAUUGCUUGCCUGGUGAAAUUGAAUUAAGUUGGGUUCAGGAAAGCACAGAAUGAAGAGAGGCAGUGUUCAUGCCAAUCCAUCACUAGACGUCUGCACGGAGGCCGAUGGUGCCAGGAGAAAAUCUUAGAAUCAAGUUCUUAAGAGGAAUUCAAAAGGCAAGAGAAAAGAAAAGAGGUUCAGAAAAGAGAAAAAUGCAGAGCUAAUAACUUGAUCUCAGAUCGCAGGUCAGAACAGCCAACUGACAACUUGCAAGACACACCUAUGAAGGCAAGGGAAACAAAAGCAAAAAUGAACUAUCGGGACUUAAUCAGGAUUAAAAAGCUUCUGCACAGGGGGGUGGGAGUGAAUGGGUGACGGGCACUGGGUGUUAUUCUGUAUGUUAGUAAAUUGAACACCAAUAAAAAAAAAAAUUAAAAAAAAAAAAAAAAAAAAAAAAAAAAGCUUCUGCACAGCAAAAGAAACAGUCAACAAAACUAAAAGACAACCCAUAGAACGGGAGAACAUAUUUGCAAAUGACAUAUCAGAUUUUUGCUGGUGACAAGGAAUGCCUGAAAAGAACAUUUCC